rnacentral:pre_miRNA from 1 species
UUUAUACUCCCUCCGAUCCUUAUUAGUUGUCGCUAAAAUGGAUGUAUCUAGAUGUAUCUCAGUGCUAGAUACAUCUACUUGAGCGACAAGUAAUAUGGAUAGGAGGGAGUAUAAU